UUUAACGGCCGCGGUAUUUUGACCGUGCAAAGGUAGCAUAAUCAUUAGUCUUUUAAUAGGAGGCUGGAAUGAAGGGUUUGACGAGGUAUUAACUGUCUCAUUUAAUUUGAAGUUAAAAUUUAACUUUUCAGUUAAAAGGCUGAAAUUUCAUUGGAAGACGAGAAGACCCUAUAGAGCUUUAUAUUUAAAAUUAUAAUUAAUUUUUGUUUAUUAUUAUUUUUUAUUGUUUUAAUUAUUUUGUUGGGGUGACAAAAAUAUAUAUAUAACUCUUUUAUUUAAAUAACAUUGAUUUAUGAUUAUUAGAUCCAAUCUUAUUGAUUGUUAGAUUAAGUUACCUUAGGGAUAACAGCGUAAUCUUCCUUCAGAGUUCAUAUUUACAGGAAGGAUUGCGACCUCGAUGUUGGAUUAAGAUAAUAAUUAGGUGUAGCCGCUUAAUAUAUAGGUCUGUUCGACCUUUAAAUUCUUACAUGAUCUGA
rnacentral:rRNA from 1 species